rnacentral:tRNA from 1 species
GUGGUUCAGUGGUAGAGCACUUGCCUUGCAUGCAUGAAGCCCUGAGUUCGAUUCCUCAGC